AUCCAGCUGAUGAGUCCUAAAUAGGACGAAACGCGCAUCCUGGAU
rnacentral:hammerhead_ribozyme from 1 species